GCGCCCGUAGCUCAGUCGGAAGAGCAGCUGACUCUUAAUCAGCGGGUCGUAGGUUCAAGUCCUACCGGGCGUACCA
rnacentral:tRNA from 1 species